rnacentral:rRNA from 1 species
UAGGGAAUCUUCCGCAGUGGGCGAAAGCCUGACGGAGCAACGCCGCGUGAGUGAUGAAGGUCUUCGGAUCGUAAAACUCUGUUAUUAGGGAAGAACAUAUGUGUAAGUAACUGUGCACAUCUUGACGGUACCUUAUCAGAAAGCCACGGCUAACUACGUGCCAGCAGCCGCGGUAAUACGUAGGUGGCAAGCGUUAUCCGGAAUUAUUGGGCGUAAAGCGCGCGUAGGCGGUUUUUUAAGUCUGAUGUGAAAGCCCACGGCUCAACCGUGGAGGGUCAUUGGAAACUGGAAAACUUGAGUGCAGAAGAGGAAAGUGGAAUUCCAUGUGUAGCGGUGAAAUGCGCAGAGAUAUGGAGGAACACCAGUGGCGAAGGCGACUUUCUGGUCUGUAACUGACGCUGAUGUGCGAAAGCGUGGGGAUCAAACAGGAUUAGAUACCCUGGUAGUCCACGCCGUAAACGAUGAGUGCUAAGUGUUAGGGGGUUUCCGCCCCUUAGUGCUGCAGCUAACGCAUUAAGCACUCCGCCUGGGGAGUACGACCGCAAGGUUG